GGAAGAUGAUCUUUUAAUCAAUUCAGUUAAGAGAUACGGCUGCAAAUGGUCGCUGAUUGCAAAAACCUUUCCUGGUCGCACAGGCAAGCAGUGCCGAGAAAGGUGGACUAAUCAUCUCGAUCCUUUAGUAAAGAAUGUUGCCUGGACAGCAGAAGAGGAAUCCAUUCUUGCUCACAGGCACCAUAUUUAUGGUAAUAAGUGGGCACAAGUCGCAAAAUUUCUUCCUGGAAGAAUUCUUCAAGAAAGUUAUUGCACAUUUACUCCCCAACAAAAAUGGGAUUGCUGGAAGAAAACAUCACCAUCUCUUAGAAGUUGCUCAAGCCCUUAAAUUCCAAGCCUCAAUUUUGAAAAAGUUCUGGGGAGACUGUGUGGUCACGGCAGCCUACUUGAUCAAUAGGAUGCCAUCUCGUAUUCUUAAUGAAAGGACUCCUUUCAAGUUACUCUUUGGCAAGUGUCCAAACAAUCAUCACCUCCAUGCCCGAGGAUCAACGGUAGACACACAACAAAGACACCCAGAAACAUGUGUCUACCGUUGAUCCUCGGGACAAGCUGGAUCCCUAAGCCCUCAAGUGUGUAUUUAUUGGGUAUCCAACUCUUCAAAAGGGAUUUGUCAAAAAAAAAAACUCUUCAAAAGGGAUAGUUGGUUCUUAAUCCAUCGACUGAACAAGUUCUUGUCAGCAGAGACAUCACCUUUCAUGAGGAUAUUUUUCACUCUCAAGACAAAUUAUCUUCAUAUCAACAAGAGGAUUUGACUUCA